rnacentral:sRNA from 1 species
CUCUUAAAGUCUGUCUUCCUUGUCUUCCAUGAAGAUCCAUGAGCCUUGGUAAUAAUGGUUUGCUUUAGAUGUUCUAUUUAGGGCCAAGGACUCAAUGAUUCUUUAUUUUCUGCAGCUGACCAGUGUAAGGUCUUUAUGUUAAUUUUCAGAAAAUGCUUCUCUGCUCUGAGUUGGGAGACACAUUAACCCAUGGGUGAAGCUACAUCUUAAAAAAAAAACUUCGCUAUAUUGUCAUAAUCUCUACUUGAAGGUUUAUCAUAGAACUUAGUGAUAGGUUCUGGGAUGAUUCAGCUUCUAAAAUGUAUUCAUUAUGAUUUGUUCACAUUUUGUGAUGUUUCAAUUAUGGUGAUGUAGUUAAACUCCUAGCAAUAAUGUCAACAAAAUGUUAUUGGUUAGUUUGUUUCAUGUAUAACUGACAAAUAAAUCGGUAAGUACUUUAGGAAAUACUUGCUCUAAACCAGCAUCAUCAAUUUCUAUGAGGAGGUAUAUUUUGGUAAUACUGUUUUAUUAUUUUAAUUUUUAAAAGAAUGACAGCCACAUUAUGAAUAUCAAAUACAUUAAUGGGAAUUUACAUUAUUGUCUGUUCAUGUUCCUGUUGAAGCGAAUUUGUGAGUACAUCAAACAUUCAGAUGCUUUUGCUGCCAUGAGAAGAGCAGUUAUUCGCUCUACUCAGAAACAUUCUUGCUCUGACCUUGAUACCUGUGUCCUAUCCUCAUGCAAUACACCAUGUCAGUACUGAACUUCACUUUUGGGUAUUAGCUUUCUUCAGAGCCCCUUUCUUUCAGUCAAGUGAUAACAAGCAUUAACAUCAUCUAAGAGCUUCUCAUCCAAACCAUUAGCCUAUUUUAGAGACCUCAUUUACCCUUUUCACAAGGUUUCUUGGGGACAUAACUAAUGCUUUCACCUUCAAGGUACUGUUACACUCCUGGAAUUCUGAUUUACACACGACCCCUGAACAACAUGAAUAGAAGAGUUAUCUCCAGCGCUGGCACAUUUCAUGUCAUUAAAGGACCCUGGAAUAAAACAUAAGAUACACCGUGACAGCCAUUAACUCCCUACACUGCUGUCUUUGCAUCCUGUCUUCAAGCAGUGUCUUCAAGAGAAGAUGCUGGAAUUCAGCCAUUUUGACACAAUCAUAAAACUGAAGUUUGAUGUUUAGAGGUCAAUACUCAUUAUCUUCAUUUUGAAAAUAUUUUGUUUUGGAGAUGCUGGAGAAACCCAGAAAACUUCAGGUAAGAUAUUAGGCUCGAGGGCCUGUGGAAGAGGGAAAGAGAGAGGUGAAAGGAUAGAAGAGGGGGAUGGAUAGAGGGAGAGGGGAAAGGGAGAACAAAAUGGGAAGAAAGAGGAAAGGAAAGUGAGAAGUAAGAGAGAAAGGAGGGAUGAGAGGGGAGGAAGGUCAGACCAAACGAGGAAGGAAACUUGAAUGGCUGGAGUACGCAAGGCUGGGCCUAGGAUUUUCUCAGUAUGGCUGAUUUAUAAAUCCUUUUUUUUUAAUUUGAGGAAAAGCAUACCUACAAACUGAUUUAAAAUAAUCAUUUUAAUCUCCAUCAGUCUUGUAUCCCCCAAACAAUGAAUUGAAGAUCUGUUUUCAAUGAGAUUUUCCAUUGAGUUGACUUCCAUACAUCAAUGUCUUUGUAGUGCUGGGACCCUAGUCAAAUGUAGGUGGGCAAUAUUGUCAUUUAUUCCAAGUACAUGGUUUAGGGAUUCUUGGAGACCAGUAGCAUUUUCAUGAACCCCUCCCCACACACACACACCAUUCACUCCUAAGGUUGCUUAAGACCUCCAUCACUUCUUAGUAAUAGUAACAAAGAAUUAAAAGUGUAUAAAAUCUUGGGGCUUUUUCAGACUUGGGCAGGAGGGCAUUUAAGAUGGCAGAGACAUUGACAAGUUAAUUUUAUCUUUGCUAAUCACAUUGAUUUCUUCUUCCUAGAUUUAGGGCUUAUAUCAGCAGCUUCUUUGUGUGUCAUGCAUCCAUGUCAUCCAUGCUCAUUAGUGUUACAAACCUCUGGGCCUGAGUGACAGCAAUGAUGCCUGAGAUGCAUGCUGCUUUCCGGGACACUGAUUAACCCAAUAAGAAGAAGCCAAAUGGGAGGUCCUCAUUGGUUUCAUUAAAUGCUGUCUUGUUAUAAUCUAUACUUUGUAUUGUAGUACAUCACCUUUUAUCUGAAGAAGACACACUAAUUAAAAUAUCAGGAAGUAUUUCAUUCCCUUAACAAGUUAACUGUUUGUAGAUUCUUUUAUUUGUUUCUAGACCUUUAUUUUAUUUUGUUUAGUUAGUGAUAGGAGCGUAAGUAAUGAUGGAAUGUAAUUCAAACACUGUAAUAUUGAUACGUUGGGUGAAAUAUCUCAAACUAACAUCAGAGGUAAGGAGGAUAGUGUGAUGGUUAGUUUAACCAAUUUGACACAAACUUAGAUAUGUAUGGGAAGAGGUAUUAUCUCCAUGAGGUUGACCUAUAGAGAAGUCUGUAGGGCAUGUGGUUAAUUGAUGAUUGACAUGGGAUAGUAGCUUCACAUUGGCAUUGCCAUCCUUGGGUUGGUAGUUCUGGGACGUAUAAGAAAGCAAGUUCAGCAUGCCACAGUGAACAAGGCAGUAAGCAGCAUUCCACCCCACCCUAGUUUUUAUUUCAGUAUCUUCCUCCAGGUUCCCACCUGGAGCACUUCCCUGACUUCUCUGCAGAAAGAUGUAUAAGCUGAAAAAGACCUUUUCCUCCCCAGGUUGCUUUUGGCUAUGGUCUGUAGCAUAGCAGUAGAAAGCAAACUAAGAGUGAUGACAUUUGCUUCACACCAUGACGGUAAAGGUCAAGGAAGCUACUUCUGCUGUGGUGCUGAUGACUACAGACUCACUGUUGAGACAGAGGGACUUCUAGGACAACCACAACCCCCUUCUCCAAAAGCAACAGCCUAGACAGAAAGCCAUUGAAGAAAAUUCUUAAUAAUUGUGACAAGAUGCUGACGUGUAGCUCUUCACAACUGGCAGCUUCUGGCAGAGUGCAGGCGAGGAAAGACUUGGUUUCUUUAAGUGUCUGGCCACUGAGAGUUUGACCCACCGGAGUGCUGUAGCACAGACACGCUAUGUCUCUCAGCAGAAGAAUAAAUCAAGAGGAGAGGUUAAGUUUCAUCAUUACCUAGGUACGAUGCAGCGGUUUGGUCGUGUUUACCAAUCAAACAUGAGCGUCUGUCUGCUGCUUGCCAAAUUGUGUGGAACCUAACCACAGGCGUAGGCAGGCUGCCUAUCUCUUUUCGUGGCACUAGUGAAUAAUACUUAGAUGACUGGCAGCUACCAUCGUUUUGCUGUUUCUAAUUUCUUAGCCUACUUUCCCUCUAGUAUUGCAAUGAAACAUUCAUUGUCUAAUCAGGUCUUUAUGACGCGAUCUACCUUUGCCUUGUGCAUGCUCUGUAUGGAAAGAGCAGAUGCUCCGUUGUGAGGGGUGAGGGGAUGAAGAGCCUGGUUAUACCCAGUCUACCCGUUUCUCUGGGUCUGGCUGUUCAUGUGCGUUCUUCGACAACUUUAAUGGAAGGCAUGACCACCUUGCUUGUCUCUAAGGACAGCCAAACUUAGUUUUUAAUUGGUCUUCCUUCUUCAAUGGUUCAUUAAAUACUAUACAGAGCCGUUUUACCAAAGCUGAACCCCCAGAAGGGUCUGUCUACUGCAUAGACGCUGUUUAUGGUGGCUGUCUACGGUUGCCUGAGACUGGGCAUUGAAGUCAGGCCUGGAAGAGAAGCUAGAGCUAAAAUCUCUGUGCCAAACCAAUAAAUAUAAAGAGUUCCUGAAAACUGGAGUGGAAGGAGUGGGUAUUUAAAUAGUCGUCUAGACAAAUAGAAGCCAGUGGUGAUAAAUCUAUAAUGAACAGCUUUUAAGAAUUACAACCGUGUUUUGCAUAAUAGAUAAGAGCAAAAGCCUGUUCUCUUAAAUUGACGGGGAAGAAUUCUGAUAAGCCGCAUUAGGAAGCAUGGCUGCAGAGAAGGAAACUGGUAAGAAAACUGAGCAAGUGCACGGCACGCAGCAUUCUGUAUCAGAAAUGUAAGGAAUUUGACAGUUGUUCUCUGAGUAUUCUUCCUCAAGAUCAAGAGGGAAAUGGAUUUCUAUUUAAUGGCAUGCUUUUUAAAAUUUAAUGUGCCCGCUAAUAAAGUAGCUUUCAAUUUGAAAGCAUUUUGCCUCCUGUUACCAUUUAGUCCUUUUGAAUAUAGAAAUCAAAAUUUGUUCUAAAUAUCACUGUGGGGGGACAUAUUUUAGUACUCCAAAUAUGAUUUUUUUCUCAUGUACCCUGUGUGUUGUUUUACGUUACAGUACGGUUAGAAAAACCUUCUGAAAUCUCCGUUCUUCAGUAAUUACCAAUUCAUUAAGUAGUAUGAGUUCUGAAGUAAUUAUGACGUCGGCUUUUGUUGUCUUGUCUGUCUGGUAACAUAAUCUACUUCCAGUUCAUUAAUAUUACAGCCGAUACUCAUCUGCCGCCUACACCAAUGGAGUAAGGGAUGAAGAGGAAGAGGCACCAAACAUUGGUCACAGCGACAAAGGCUCCUAAUUAUCGAAGACCAUUGAUGAAAGAAGUCGCACUUCAAUACACCUCUCUUCAAGUCUGAGGAAAGCAGUUGUUUACGUUUUAUUCACUUCCUGUGUGUGCGUGUGCAGUUUCCCUUGGUGGACUUAAGAGAGCGGAAGAUCACCUGGACCUAGAAGUACCGGUGGUCGGGAGCUGUCUCAGGUAGAGGCUGAGAAUGGAACCUGGGUUCUCUGGAAAAGCAGGGAGUGCUCUUAGCCACGAAGUCAUCCCCAACUUUCGUAAAAAUUAUGCUAGAGAAAACAUUAACACACCGAAAGCGCAUAAAAGCUUAACAGAGACAUCAGAAAACAACCUGACGUAAAGUACACCUUUGGGCUCUGGUUGACACUUCAAGUUUAAAAGAAGUGCCUGGAGAAACUUCAUUUUUUCCUAAAGAGCCGUAACUAUUUAGGAACACGUUUGUUAUUGUUUAUUCUCGAUCUUCAGUCACAGUCUCUUAAAAACGCAGUGCCCAGAAUGCCCAGUUAUGUUUGAGAGCAGUCCUGCCUCACAGACUUUCCUCAUGGUUGAUGAAUCCAGCACGUCUCACCGUGACAAUGGCUGCCCACAGUUACUGAGCACUUGUGGUAGGUGCCCAGGGUGUGGACUUCAGUUUUAUUGAUCUUAUUUAGUAUAAAUAUGAAUGUUGGGCUGGAGCAACGGCUCAGUGGUUAAGAUUACUUGAUGCUCUUACAGAACCUGGGUUUGAUUCCAAGCACCCACACAGAAGCUCAUAACCAUCUGUAACCCUAGUUCCAAAGUUGUCCUUUCCUGGCUUAAUGGGCCCCAAGAACACAUGGGGUCCAAAGAUAUUCAUGCGUGCAAAAUACCAUUCAUAAGAUAAGUUUUAAAAAUUAAAAAAGAGCAUGAAUGUAAAGUGUCUCCUAUGUGCAGUGGGUCCAGUAUUAAGUAGAGGAGACUUAGGAUGUUUACAGACCUAUGGUUAAGGCGAAGUCUUCCGCAUGGUGUCUACUUCCAGCCGCUCUUCAGGAUUCAUUUGUGUCGAUGCUUCAAGACUUGUUGGAAAGGAGUCAAGGCAAUGACCCCCAAAUUUCAACUUUACUCAAUGGUUUGCUGGCUUAGUCAAAUGUGUGGACCUGAGAAACAAGAUUGCUAAGGGUGUAUGUCUGGUUGAUGCUGAGUCCCGAGGCAGAAGACCAAAGUCCCAGGCAGAAUAGGGCUAGAAAGGCAGAGCACAUCUUCCCUAUUAAGCUUUUGUUGUUUUAAUCACUCUCAAGGCUUUGAUGAAUGGAAACACAGAGACAUGUUGAUGUGUGUCACCUGGUAACAGCCUCACAGGCCAAAGGAAAGCAUGUUUCCAAAGAUGUGGAUACCUCAUAACCGAGUCCACACAAUACUCACCUGACAUCACACAGUUACUUAAUCCCACAUAUGCAUACAUGUAUAACUCUCUCUGCCAUCUACUAUGGUUACUAUUCAAGCUAAAACGUCCUAUUUAAACCAGUUAAACUUCUAUUAAAACAGUUAAAUUUCACCAGCA